AGAGUUUGAUCAUGGCUCAGAAUCAACGCUGGCGGCGCGCCUAACACAUGCAAGUCGAACGAGAAAGUGGAGCAAUCCAUGAGUACAGUGGCGUACGGGUGAGUAACACGUGGGUAAUCUACCUUUUAGUGAGGAAUAACCGAGGGAAACUUUGGCUAAUACCGCAUAAGCCUGAGAAGGGAAAGCAGAAAUGCGCUGAAAGAGGAGCCCGCGGCCGAUUAGCUAGUUGGUGGGGUAAGAGCCUACCAAGGCAGAGAUCGGUAGCCGGCCUGAGAGGGCACACGGCCACACUGGCACUGAAACACGGGCCAGACUCCUACGGGAGGCAGCAGUGGGGAAUCUUGCACAAUGGGGGAAACCCUGAUGCAGCGACGCCGCGUGAGCGAUGAAGCCCUUCGGGGUGUAAAGCUCUUUCGUCAGGGAAGAUAGUGACGGUACCUGGAGAAGCAGCUGCGGCUAACUACGUGCCAGCAGCCGCGGUAAUACGUAGGCAGCAAGCGUUGUUCGGAGUUACUGGGCGUAAAGGGUGUGUAGGCGGUUCUUUAAGUUUGGUGUGAAAUCUCCCGGCUUAACCGGGAGGGUGCGCCGAAUACUGAGGGACUAGAGUACGGGAGAGGAAAGUGGAAUUCCUGGUGUAGCGGUGAAAUGCGUAGAUAUCAGGAGGAACACCGGUGGUGUAGACGGCUUUCUGGACCGUAACUGACGCUGAAACACGAAAGCGUGGGUAGCAAACAGGAUUAGAUACCCUAGUAGUCC
rnacentral:rRNA from 1 species